GCUCGAGUGGCGAGCGGGUGAGUAACACGUGAGUAACCUGCCCUUGACUUUGGGAUAACUUCAGGAAACUGGGGCUAAUACCGGAUAGGAGCUCCUGCUGCAUGGUGGGGGUUGGAAAGUUUCGGCGGUUGGGGAUGGACUCGCGGCUUAUCAGCUUGUUGGUGGGGUAAUGGCUUACCAAGGCUUUGACGGGUAGCCGGCCUGAGAGGGUGACCGGCCACAUUGGGACUGAGAUACGGCCCAG
rnacentral:rRNA from 1 species